rnacentral:rRNA from 1 species
UACAGAGGGUGCGAGCGUUGUCCGGAAUCACUGGGCGUAAAGGGCGCGUAGGUGGCGACCCAAGUCGAUGGUGAAAGCUCGCCGCUCAACGGCGAGUCGGCCACCGAUACUGGGUUGCUGGAGCACUGUAGAGGCUCUGGAAUUCCGGGUGUAGCGGUGGAAUGCGGUAGAGAGUCCGGAAGAACACCGGUGGCGAAGGCGGUGAGCUGGGCAGUUGCUGACACUGAGGCGCGGACAGCGUGGGGAGCAAAC